UAUAGAUUAUACGACUGACGGAAGUGGAAUCAACCACAUGAAGUAUAAUAAUAAAAGCCGACCGUCUGGGCGAGAGCC
rnacentral:ncRNA from 2 species